rnacentral:lncRNA from 1 species
GGUUACAUGUUAAUUGUGGCAAUUAGGGUAGAAAUUCGAUUCUUUUUCCGCUGUGCAUGACUUAGUUCUAUCAUGUGGUAUCAGAGAAUGCUUCAUUUUUACCCAAUUGCAUGUGGUGGAUUCAUAUUUAUUAGAUAAAUUUUGGUUUGAACUAAAAUGGAUAUAUUAUGAUUUUGGCUCUAGAUUAAGUGUUUUUGUCCUAAUGAUUG